AAAGGGGGUAGCCAAGUUUGGGCAUCCCCAAGCCUUAUCCACGCCUAUAUCAAAGAGUUCAAAAGGGUUAGGACUCUGGGCACGCUAAGUUUGUGCGACAGAUAAAAGUAGUGUGCAAAAGGACCAAGAGUCCUUCUACACGUUAAUUACUUUUUUUUAUUUGGUUUUCAGAUAGAUAAGAAAAACUUCCCAUGCCCCUUUGAAUUCUGAUA
rnacentral:lncRNA from 1 species